AUGGCCGUUCCGACCGUCCACUCGGUCUUCGAGCCGAGGCCGUCAGACGUCCUCCUUGCCAGCUUCCCAAAGUGCGGCACCACCUGGCUCAAGGCUCUUGCCUUCACCACGCGCAACCGGACCGAGCACCCACCAUGUGACCUCAACCACCCGCUCUGCCGUGGCAAACCCCACGAUGUCGUCAGGUACCUGGAGAUGGCGUUCGCGCAGUCGACGGACGACAGUGGAGCAGGCGACGCGUUCGCGGCGCUCCCUUCGCCACGCGUGGUCGCCACACACCUUCCCUACUCUCUCCUGCCACGGCGCAUCACCGCGAAGGAGUCCGGCUGCCGGAUCGUGUAUCUGCCGGGACCCAAAGGAUGCAUUUGUUUCCUCGUGGAGUCGUGGUUCUUCGCCAAGAAAGGGGCAGCCGCCGUUGCACGAGCUCGAGCCCGAGCCCGAGCCAACGAGGACACGGACAUGUAG
rnacentral:rRNA from 1 species